rnacentral:rRNA from 1 species
AUCGAACGCUGGCGGCAGGCUUAACACAUGCAAGUCGAGCGGGGGAAGGUAGCUUGCUACCGGACCUAGCGGCGGACGGGUGAGUAAUGCUUAGGAAUCUGCCUAUUAGUGGGGGACAACAUCUCGAAAGGGAUGCUAAUACCGCAUACGUCCUACGGGAGAAAGCAGGGGAUCUUCGGACCUUGCGCUAAUAGAUGAGCCUAAGUCGGAUUAGCUAGUUGGUGGGGUAAAGGCCUACCAAGGCGACGAUCUGUAGCGGGUCUGAGAGGAUGAUCCGCCACACUGGGACUGAGACACGGCCCAGACUCCUACGGGAGGCAGCAGUGGGGAAUAUUGGGCAAGGGGGGGAACCCUGAUCCAUCCAUGCGGCGUGUGUGAAGAAGGCCUUAUGGUUGUAAAGCACUUUAAGCGAGGAGGAGGCUACUUUAGUUAAUACCUAGAGAUAGUGGACGUUACUCGCAGAAUAAGCACCGGCUAACUCUGUGCCAGCCGCCGCAGUAA